GGGCGGUUUUCAUGGGGGACCUACAGGACCGUAACUCUCCAGGAACAGAGUUGGGGAGCCCUGCUCUAGACUGACACAGUUGGAAUGUGCACAUUGGUAUAGAAGUCACUCUGGCACUAUCACGAUCAUUCUGCACCACUCUCAACAGGGAGGCUCUUCCCCAUUCCUCCCAGGACCUCCACCUCAGAGUUCCAGGACUAAGAGGCAUGUGACUACUAAGGGCAGACGCAAAAGACCCUAUCGUCCUGGAGUCUUGGCUGCAUUUUCCGAACUAGCUGUUCCUCCUUACAGAUCCUCAGCAUAGAAGAAGACGGUACUGAGACACAGGACAGGCCAUGGAGAGAAACCCACCGCUGAAACUUGCUUUAUUUUGGGUCAUAAGUGAAAUAAGCAUGAAAAAAACAUGUGGUAUCGACAGUAAAACACUCAGUCCUGCUUUAUUUGAAGUGCAUCUUGAGAAAGCUUUUUAAAAACGGUCAUAUAGGCUUCAUAAGCACUGCAUAAAUAGGUCACAAAUAAUCUAUAACUCAUUUCAUGCUCGAUAAAAUAUUUCCAAAUGUGAUUUCUAAAUGUGAACAAAUAAAUGCAUGCAUUUAUAGAGCAAGAUAUAAGGUUAUAGAUGAUAUGUGAAGCAUCUAUGUGUGGCUUUAUGAAGCCUUCAUAAGAUGCAUUUCAAAUAAAGCGGGACUAAACUUUCAUUGACUUUUUUUUUUCAGUUUUCCAGCAAUGCAAUUAUAAAUAAAACUCUACCGCGCGAUGGACUGGACUAAGCCAUUCACUCAUUUCUGAAUGUUCUGUAAGACAAAUCACAUUGGGGUCACCAAACUUGUAGGUGAUGUUAUGUUCCUGGAAUCGACUCAGUAUUUUAAUGUUAUUCAAAGCCUUAAAUCACAGUUAAAACAAAGGAAACAAAAAUGUCAAGACACACAAUGUAUUUGCUUCAGUAGUCAAUCUUUUCACAAUUUCUCAAUAUUCUCUGUCAAAUGCUCAAUGUUACUGCAUAUUUUACCAUAGCAAACCUUUCAACAGUUGUAUAUGUCUGUUCUACUAAAUAAAAAUGUUAGAUCUAGGACAUGAACACAAUCCAGUUUAUUCCUACUGUUGUUAUUACGAGAGAUUUGACUCAAUCCAGAAGACAUUAAAACCCCAGAUGUUUUGAUUUUUGAAAAGGUCAUCAUGGACGUUUGCAAUGUCUCCACAAGUUCCAAUCAACAGUUGAAACUUAGAUGGAUUUAGGGAGGCAGUGAGAGAAUAUACACAUGUUGAAAACAGAGUUAGAAGACCAGCUGUCUGCAACUUUUAACAGAGUAGCUAGUAGUCAUUUAGCCACUGGUAGUCUGCACAGCGCGAUAUCAACCCAGAGCACAUCGGACAGCUUUUUCUCUACCACAUCUCCGGAUUCCUACCUCAAGAUCUGAGCCGAUGUAAUCUUCGAAGGUGGUUUCAACAGGCUCUUCCGUUGCGACAUCGCCAGAGGCCCAUCUGCUAUCCCCGGCCCGCUAGCUGUCUGAAUCGCCGUGUCUCCAGCUCGCCUAGCAUAGUAGCGACUACUGAAUCGGCACCCUGGCUCAUCUAUUGCUACUCUUUGGACCCUAUUAUCACUUGGCUACACAUGCCUCUCCCUAAUGUCAAUAUGCUUUGUCUAUUGCUGUUUUGGUUAGUGAUUAUUCUCUUAUUUCACUGUAGAGCCCCCAGCCCUGCCCAACAUGCCUUAGAUAGCCCUUUUGUUCAUACCCCCACACAUGCGGUGACCUCACCUGGCUUAACUGGUGCCUCUAGAGACAAAACCUCUCUCAUUGUCACUCAUCAUCCGACCAUACCUUUGUCUGUACAUUGCCUUGAAUCUAUUCUUCCAUGACCAGAAAUCUGCUCCUUUUACUCUCUGUUCAGAACGCACUAGAUGAUCAGUUCUAAUAGCCUUUAG
ensembl:lncRNA